AGUAGUUUGACUCCUGGCUCAGGACAACGCUGGCGGCGUGCUUAACACAUGCAAGUCGAACGGGCACUUCGGUGCUAGUGGCGAACGGGUGAGUAAAGCGCAGGUAAUCUGCCGCAAAGAUGGGGACAACGUUGCGAAAGUGACGCUAAUACCGAAUGUUGUAGUGAUCUCGCAUGGGGUUGCUACCAAAGAUUUAUCGCUUUGCGAGGAGCCUGCGUCCGAUUAGCUAGUUGGUGGUGUAAAGGACCACCAAGGCGACGAUCGGUAGCCGGUCUGAGAGGAUGAACGGCCACAAUGGAACUGAGACACGGUCCAUACUCC
rnacentral:rRNA from 1 species